rnacentral:rRNA from 1 species
AUCGAACGCUGGCGGCAGGCUUAACACAUGCAAGUCGAGCGGGGAAGGGUAGCUUGCUACCUGACCUAGCGGCGGACGGGUGAGUAAUGCUUAGGAAUCUGCCUAUUAGUGGGGGACAACAUUCCGAAAGGAAUGCUAAUACCGCAUACGCCCUACGGGGGAAAGCAGGGGAUCUUCGGACCUUGCGCUAAUAGAUGAGCCUAAGUCAGAUUAGCUAGUUGGUGGGGUAAAGGCCUACCAAGGCGACGAUCUGUAGCGGGUCUGAGAGGAUGAGCCGCCACACUGGGACUGAGACACGGCCCAGACUCCUACGGGAGGCAGCCGUGGGGAAUAUUGGACAAUGGGCGAAAGCCUGAUCCAGCCAUGCCGCGUGUGUGAAGAAGGCCUUUUGGUUGUAAAGCACUUUAAGCGAGGAGGAGGCUACUUAGAUUAAUACUCUAGGAUAGUGGACGUUACUCGCAGAAUAAGCACCGGCUAACUCUGUGCCAGCAGCCGCGGUAAAAC